rnacentral:piRNA from 1 species
UAUUUUGAUUUCUCCAUGGCUGCCAGUCUU